rnacentral:lncRNA from 1 species
AAAAGAAAAGAAAAGAAAAGAAAAGAAAAGAAAAGAAAAGAAAAGAAAAGAAAAGAAAAGAAAAGAAAAGAAGAAAAAAGAAAAGAAAAGAAAAGAAGAAAAAAGAAAAAGAAAAAACGUUUUCAAAAGUUGUUUUAACUGAGCUUUUUAAACUUUACUGCUCAAUGAAACAGUUUACAAGGUGAACCAGGUUCUGGUGGCACAAUGGGACCCAAGAAGCCCCCUGUUCCGCAUCCCUUCACUUGAAAAGACAGAAAACAGCGUUUGAAAGCAGAGGUUCACCUUCCACUGAAUACCAGAGUGCAAUGCAUCAAACAGUUUCUGGUGAAACCUCUGAAAGGGCAACAUUUCUUCAGCAGAAGGAUAUGACUUUCCAUCAAACCUAGAAAAAUAUUUAUGAGAUGCUUUUGUAUUUAUUUACCUAUUUUUCAGGAAACAUUUUUUUCUU